rnacentral:rRNA from 1 species
UACGUAGGGUGCGAGCGUUGUCCGGAAUUAUUGGGCGUAAAGAGCUCGUAGGCGGUUUGUUGCGUCGGCCGUGAAAACCUGCAGCUUAACUGUGGGCCUGCGGCCGAUACGGGCAGACUUGAGUUCGGUAGGGGAGACUGGAAUUCCUGGUGUAGCGGUGAAAUGCGCAGAUAUCAGGAGGAACACCGGCGGCGAAGGCGGCCACCUGGACGAGGACUGACGCUGAGAUGCGAAAGCGUGGGGAGCAAACAGG